GAUGAACGCUGGCGGCGCGCCUAACACAUGCAAGUCGAACGGUUAAAGCACCUUUUAGGUGUGUAUAAAGUGGCGAACGGCUGAGUAACACGUGGGCAACCUGCCCUCCUCUUGGGGAUAGCCUCGGGAAUCCGAGGAUAAUACCCGAUACUUCAAUGUGGCCGCAUGACGACAUUGAGAAAGCUUUUGCGGAGAAGGAUGGGCCCGCGGCCUGUUAGCUCGUUGGUGGGGUAGAGGCCUACCAAGGCAAUGAUGGGUAGCUGGGUUGAGAGACCGACCAGCCAGAUUGGGACUGAGACACGGCCCAGACUCCUACGGGAGGCAGCAGUGGGGAAUCUUGCACAAUGGGCGAAAGCCUGAUGCAGCGACGCCGCGUGCGGGACGAAGGCCUUCGGGUUGUAAACCGCUUUCAGCAGGGACGAGGCGAU
rnacentral:rRNA from 2 species